rnacentral:rRNA from 1 species
UACGUAGGUGGCAAGCGUUAUCCGGAAUUAUUGGGCGUAAAGAGCGCGCAGGUGGUUGAUUAAGUCUGAUGUGAAAGCCCACGGCUUAACCGUGGAGGGUCAUUGGAAACUGGUCGACUUGAGUGCAGAAGAGGGAAGUGGAAUUCCAUGUGUAGCGGUGAAACGCGUAGAGAUAUGGAGGAACACCAGUGGCGAAGGCGGCUUCCUGGUCUGUAACUGACACUGAGGCGCGAAAGCGUGGGGAGCAAACAGGAUUAGAUACCCG